rnacentral:rRNA from 1 species
UGCCAGCAGCCGCGGUAAUACGUAGGGUGCGAGCGUUGUUCGGAAUUACUGGGCGUAAAGGGCGUGUAGGCGGAUCAAUUAGCCAGGGGUGAAAGCCCAGAGCUCAACUCUGGAAUAGCUCUUGGAACUGUUGAUCUUGAGAGGGUCAGAGGCUAGCAGAAUUCCUGGUGUAGAGGUGAAAUUCGUAGAUAUCAGGAGGAAUACCAGUGGCGAAAGCGGCUGGCUAGGGCCACUCUGACGCUGAUGCGCGAAAGCGUGGGGAGCAAACAGGAUUAGAUA